rnacentral:rRNA from 1 species
GCAAGUCGAACGAGAACCCUUUUGUUCGUAAGAUCGAGAGGACUUCUAGUGGCGAACGGGUGAGUAACACGUGAGAAACCUGCCCCAAAGACCGGGAUAGCCCAUGGAAACGUGGAGUAAUACCGGAUGCCCUCACGGAAUCGCAUGGUUCUGUGAGGAAAUGCUCCGACGCUUUGGGAUGGUCUCGCGGCCUAUCAGCUUGUUGGUGAGGUAACGGCUCACCAAGGCACUGACGGGUAGCUGGUCUGAGAGGACGAUC